rnacentral:misc_RNA from 1 species
GUAGAAUUUAUUGUUUGUUAGUGAACUUCAUUAACGAAUCGAAAGUAAUUGUCAUUUGAGUAGCAAUCUUGCAAUAAAGGAUCCAUUAUCCCCCAAUCUAAAUAAUGCAUAAUUUUCGAGCCAAUAAACAAGGCAAUACAUGAUCGUCUUCAAUUGAAUACACGGGAAAGCUAAUGAUAUGUCAUCUUUACUAAUGCGGCUUGUCCUUUCUAUCUCCUUGUUUCCUCACCCAAAUUAUUGAUCGACACAACAACUUCAAUUUACGUAAUCAGCGAAAGCACUUUCCCGUAAGGGAAAUGGUGCAAGACCUAUCAAACUUGGACCCUGAGAAGUCUUAACCGAACAUUCAUAUGGGAAAAUCACACAAAGGUUGCUGUCGUUAUCUCAUCGUCCUUGCCACCAUCUGGGAUUUUUGUAGCCGAAAAGCCAAGGGAGGAAAACCAGUAGAAUUCAACUACAGUUAUAAGAACUUCACCUACAACAGCAUGAUGAACCAUCAAAAUAUUAAUGCCAAUGGUGGUAUGCCAUACUUUCCAUCCAUCCAAUCCAUAAGUUACUCCUAAAUAUAAGAUUCUCCCACCAGAAUAGGACCUAAAACACCAUCAUCAAUUCAACUCUAAAACACUGAAACCUCUAUCAGCUGCAUAAUCAACAAAGUUAUAUAGUGGCUGGACACUCUCCCCAUACUUCUCAAACCCAUCCAAUUCCUUCUUAGCCUUGGUUCUCAGCUCUUCUGCAACCUCCACUGCCUUCUCAACCCCAUAUAAACUGACAUAACUUUUCGCUUUCUUUUUCUCAUUCUCCUCAUCUUCCUUACUCAUUGAUUUUGCUUCCAAUACAUCAUCAAUCACUUUAUAUAAUACCCCAACAGCUCUUCCAUACCUCCUCAAUCUUUGUAUCUCAUCAUCUUCAGCACCAGCCAACAAUCCUCCGCACACUGCAGAACACUCACCCAUUUCACCAUAUUUUUUCUCUUGAACAAACUCUACAGAAUUUAGGCUACCCUCGAGGUCAAGGAACUGACCAGCAGCCAUUCCCGUGGACCCCACAGCACGAGCAAUCUCAGCAAUCACACGGAGAAGGCGAGGCUCUGGAACAAGAUCUGAGGGUGUGUUGGAGACAAUGUGUCGGAAGCCAAGAGGGAACAGUGCAUCCCCAGCAAGGAUUGCCUUGUCAACCCCAUAGACUGCAUGGUUUGAGGGCUGGCCUCGACGUGAUGGGGCAUCAUCCAUGCAGGGAAGAUCAUCAUGAAUCAAAGAAGCUGCAUGGACCUGUUAAAAGCAGAGUUAUAAUGGAUUCAAUCACUGCAGCUAUGCAACUGUCUUUUCCAAGUAAUGCAGAAUAAAAAAGGGUUAAUUUGGAAAAAUAUACUUAAAGAGUUCUUGAAGCAAUUUUCUUAAUCUUUAAGGUUUAAAAAAUAAAAAAGCCCUCAGCAAUUUCUAAGUCCUAAUGAAACGUUCUGCUUUCCUUUUAGAAGGAAACAUUCCCUUUUUUACAACAGAGCUAGGCCUUUGAAAUUGGAAUCAGAAUAGUCAACUCUGCAUACCCAAUUCCAAUUUUACCAUUUGAAAGUGCUAACAGACUGAAAUUUACAUGAUGUCAACAGCACAAAAUCGUAUAAAAAUCAAAAGAUUCCACAAAAAUAAAAUAUUUGAAUCCUAUCAUUGUUUUAUAUUUGCAAUUCACGACAAAAUAAAUAGGAAAUCUUAUCUGAAAACAAUAAUUGGUCCUACCCAUUACAGAAUUUUCGCAGGAAAUUCCAUUGAUAGCUUCUAAAUCUAUAUUAUUUCUUAAUAAUUAACUAACAAUAUAAAAACCUCAAGUUGAAAUCAACCUAAAUUUCCCAACAACAACAACAUUCAAGAAGAAGAGGGAGGAGGGUUAACCAUUUCAAGAGCACAUGCAGUAGGGAAGGCAGCGAGGCGAUUACCACCGAAGAGCUCACAGGCAGCAAUACACAUGACAGGCGGGGCUCGCUUGGUCCGCUUUGCGAGCACGGAAUAUCUCAUGGCCUCAUAGAUCUCCUCUGGGUAUUGAAUCGGAAUAGCCUGAUCAAGCUUCUGGUUGAUCUCUGAUAUAAGAGUCAUCCAAUAAGUCUUCAAAUCGAACUGGGUCGAUUUCGAAUUGCCUGAAACGGACAUAGAAAUA